UGGUGGCGACCGGCGCACGGGUGAGUAACGCGUAUGCAACCCCCUUAUCAGAGGGGAAUAACCCGGCGAAAGUCGGACUAAUACUUCAUAAAACAGGGACACCGCAUGGUGAUAUUUGUUAAAGAAAUUCGCUGAUAGAUGGGCAUGCGUUCCAUUAGGUAGUUGGUGAGGUAACGGCUCACCAAGCCGACGAUGGAUAGGGGAACUGAGAGGUUGGUCCCCCACACUGGUACUGAGACACGGACCAGACUCCUACGGGAGGCAGCAGUGAGGAAUAUUGGUCAAUGGGCGAGAGCCUGAACCAGCCAAGUCGCGUGAAGGAAGAAGGAUCUAUGGUUCGUAAACUUCUUUUGCAGGGGGAUAAAGUGCAGGACGUGUCCUGUUUUGUAUGUACCCUGAGAAUAAGGAUCGGCUAACUCCGUGCCAGCAGCCGCGGUAAUACGGAGGAUCCGAGCGUUAUCCGGAUUUAUUGGGUUUAAAGGGUGCGUAGGUGGUUUGAUAAGUCAGCGGUGAAAGUUUGCAGCUUAACUGUAAAAAUGCCGUUGAAACUGUCGGACUUGAGUGUAAAUGAGGUAGGCGGAAUGCGUGGUGUAGCGGUGAAAUGCUUAGAUAUCACGAAGAACUCCGAUUG
rnacentral:rRNA from 1 species